AGAUUGAACGCUGGCGGCAUGCCUAACACAUGCAAGUCGAACGGGAGUAGCAAUACUCUAGUGGCGGACGGGUGAGGAAUACGUAGGAAUUUGCCCUUAAGUGGGGGAUAACCCGGGGAAACCCGGAUUAAUACCGCAUGACCUCGAAAGAGCAAAGUGGGGGAUCGCAAGACCUCACGCUUUUGGAGAAGCCUACGUCGGAUUAGCUAGUUGGUGAGGUAAUGGCUCACCAAGGCGACGAUCCGUAACUGGUCUGAGAGGAUGAUCAGUCACACCGGAACUGAGACACGGUCCGGACUCCGUACGGGAGCAGCGAGGUGGGGAAUAUUGGACAAGUGGGACCGCAAGGCCUAGAUCCAGCAAUCGCCGCGUGUCGUGAAGAGGUCC
rnacentral:rRNA from 1 species